rnacentral:snRNA from 1 species
GUGCUCACUUCGGCAGCACAUAUACUAAAAUUGAAACAAUACAGAGAAGAUUAGCAUGGCCCCUGUGCAAGGAUGACAUGCAAAUUCAUGAAGAGUUCCAUAUUU